GCGCAAGUGAAAUACCACUA
rnacentral:sRNA from 1 species